AUCAGUCUCUGCCCGGCCCUAAUGGCCGCAGGUUCCAAUGUGUGUGCCAAUUUUCAAGAUUUUUCGAGUAUGUUAAGGGCCCCAAAAGCCCCCGAGACGUUGGAAAAAAAUAAUAAAUAUAGCUGCAAGCAGCGAUGGCGGGCUCAAGCCAUCAGCGCAAACGCCACCCCGGUGGCAUCAGGUAAACUGUGCCCAGCGGGCACAUGCAUUUACAGUAAUCCUCUGGCACUCAGGUUUUAAGGGAUACGGCAAUUAACGGGUUAAUCCGAAGCAUCAAGACUUUGAAAUCACAUACACAGAACAAUAUUCAUUAAGAAAGUGAAAUUAAAUGAUUAAUAAACUAUUUAUUCGAACCCUUGCUAUUUUCUAUUCUAAUA
ensembl:lncRNA